rnacentral:misc_RNA from 1 species
GAUGAAGAACGUAGCGAAAUGCGAUAAGUAAUGUGAAUUGCAGAAUUCAGUGAAUCAUCGAAUCUUUGAACGCACAUUGCGCCCGCCAGUAUUCUGGCGGGCAUGCCUGUUCGAGCGUCAUUACAACCCUCAGGCCCCCGGGCCUGGCGUUGGGGAUCGGCGGAGCCCCCCGUGGGCACACGCCGUCCCCCAAAUGCAGUGGCGGUCCCGCCGCAGCUUCCAUCGCGUAGUAGCUAACACCUCGCGACUGGAGAGCGGCGCGGCCACGCCGUAAAACCCCCAACUUCUGAACGUUUGACCUCGGAUCAGGUAGGAAUACCCGCUGAACUUAAGCAUAUCAAAAGCGGAGGA